GUGCCAGCAGCCGCGGUAAUACCAGCGGCCCUAGUGGUGAUCGUUAUUAUUGGGCCUAAAGCGUCCGUAGCCGGCUCGGUAAAUCUCUGGGUAAAUCGAUAGGCUUAACCUAUCGAAUUCUGGGGAGACUGCCGGGCUUGGGAUCGGGAGAGGUCGGAGGUACUCCAGGGGUAGGGGUGAAAUCCUGUAAUCCUUGGGGGACCACCGGUGGCGAAGGCGUCCGACCAGAACGAGUCCGACGGUAAGGGACGAAGCCCUGGGGCGCAAACCGGAUUAGAAACCCUAGUAGUCC
rnacentral:rRNA from 1 species